UACGAAGGGGGCUAGCGUUGUUCGGAAUUACUGGGCGUAAAGCGCGCGUAGGCGGAUAUUUAAGUCAGGGGUGAAAUCCUGGAGCUUAACUCCAGAACUGCCUUUGAUACUGAAGAUCUUGAGUUCGGGAGAGGUGAGUGGAACUGCGAGUGUAGAGGUGAAAUUCGUAGAUAUUCGCAAGAACACCAAUGGCGAAAGCAGCUCUCUGGGACGGUACUGACGCUGAGACGCGAAAGCGUGGGGAGCGAACAGG
rnacentral:rRNA from 1 species